CUGGCURUCAUGUGCCGCCUUCGUCCAAUAAAACAGAAGAGGGCCUGKCUGCAAGUCGUCUAAUCUUGYGCGAYGUGUCAAUCAUGUUCAUUCAGCGGUUGAAGUGCGGGUUUUGGUAACCGCCUCCUUUACGCUUGGAAGGGAGACGAAGGGGGGAGCUUUCUUCGGAUCAAAGACUAGUGUGGCGCUGUUGCCGUAGGAUGUACUGAGUGCAGCCUGCUGCUUUCUUUACGGACGCUUCUUYUAUCGUCUGGAUAUCGCUGAUUUCUGGAUUAUAAAUWCAUUUGAUGMUUUUCAAUCCCAACUCAAUGCAGAGAAAUGGGUAAACUUCACUCGAAACAUGCUGCGAUUUGUAAACCGAGGGAAAGUCCGGAGGGUGACAGUUUUGUAGUUAAUGCCUGUUUGGCAAGGAAAGGAAUUGACGAUUGGCUCGUGAAACAGAAAUACUAUUGCACGGGCUCGCGGCUUGAGCAACAGGACUGUCACCACACGAAUAAGUGCGGCUUGUCUA